rnacentral:tRNA from 1 species
UGCCCUAUAGCUCAAUGGUAGAGCGGUGCGCUGUUAACGCAAGGGUUGUAGGAAAGAAGUCCUACUGGGGCAG